GGUGGCUCAGUGGUAGAGUGCUUGCCUAGCAAUGCAUGAGGCCUUGGGUUCGAUUCCCCAGCACCA
rnacentral:tRNA from 1 species